ACGGCGAGUGAAGCGGCAAAAGCUCAAAUUUGAAAUCUGGCCUCCUACGGGGGUCCGAGUUGUAAUUUGUAGAGGAUGCUUCGGGUGUGGCCGCCGUCUAAGUUCCUUGGAACAGGACGUCAGAGAGGGUGAGAAUCCCGUCUUGGGCGGCCGGUCCGCGCCCGUGUGAAGCUCCUUCGAAGAGUCGAGUUGUUUGGGAAUGCAGCUCUAAGCGGGUGGUAAAUUUCAUCUAAAGCUAAAUACUGGUCGGAGACCGAUAGCGCACAAGUAGAGUGAUCGAAAGGUUAAAAGCACCUUGAAAAGGGAGUUAAACAGCACGUGAAAUUGUUGAAAGGGAAGCGCUUGCGGCCAGACUCGGGGGCGGGGUUCAGCGGGUGCUCGUCGCCCGUGCACUCCCCGUCUCCCGGGCCAGCAUCAGUUUCGACGGCCGGUCAAAGGCCUCCGGAAUGUGUCGUCUCUCGGGACGUCUUAUAGCCGGGGGUGCAAUGCGGCCCGUCGGGACUGAGGAACGCGCUUCGGCUCGGAUGC
rnacentral:rRNA from 1 species